GGUUGUGGCUCAGUGGUAGAGCACUUGCUUAGCAUGCUUGAGGCACUGGGUUCAAUCCCUGGCACCA
rnacentral:tRNA from 1 species